CACGUAGGGCGCAAGCGUUGUCCGGAAUUAUUGGGCGUAAAGGGCUCGUAGGCGGCCAACUAAGUCAGACGUGAAAUCCCUCGGCUUAACCGGGGAACUGCAUCUGAUACUGGAUGGCUUGAGAUUGGGAGAGGGAUGCGGAAUUCCAGGUGUAGCGGUGAAAUGCGUAGAUAUCUGGAGGAACACCGGUGGCGAAGGCGGCAUCCUGGACCAACACUGACGCUGAGGAGCGAAAGCCAGGGGAGCAAACGGG
rnacentral:rRNA from 1 species